AGUGAACGCUGGCGGUAGGCCUAACACAUGCAAGUCGAACGGCAGCACAGUAAGAGCUUGCUCUUACGGGUGGCGAGUGGCGGACGGGUGAGGAAUACAUCGGAAUCUACUUUUUCGUGGGGGAUAACGUAGGGAAACUUACGCUAAUACCGCAUACGACCUACGGGUGAAAGCAGGGGAUCUUCGGACCUUGCGCGAUUGAAUGAGCCGAUGUCGGAUUAGCUAGUUGGCGGGGUAAAGGCCCACCAAGGCGACGAUCCGUAGCUGGUCUGAGAGGAUGAUCAGCCACACUGGAACUGAGACACGGUCCAGACUCCUACGGGAGGCAGAAGUGGGGAAUAUUGGACAAUGGGCGCAAGCCUGAUCCAGCCAUACCGCGUGGGUGAAGAAGGCCUUCGGGUUGUAAAGCCCUUUUGUUGGGAAAGAAAAGCAGCAGGUUAAUACCCCGCUGUUCUGACGGUACCCAAAGAAUAAGUACCGGCUAACUUCGUG
rnacentral:rRNA from 1 species